rnacentral:misc_RNA from 1 species
ACGGAAGAAGGGGAUUAUCAGGUCAAACUACGCAACCUGAUACGUUUCCUUGAAAACGGGGACCGAGGCAAAGUCACUGUUCGUUUCCGCGGCCGUGAGAUGGCACACCAGGAAAUCGGUAUGCAGCUCAUGAACCGCAUCGAGAAGGACAUUGAGGAGCUGGCCCAGGUAGAGCAACGGCCCAAGAUGGAAGGCCGCCAGAUGACCAUGGUUGUAGCGCCCCGUAAAAAGAAGUAAUCCCGAAUACAGCUCAGGUCCCCCGCGCUGGCGGGGGAUUUGUCGUUCAGGAUUGCAUUUAUCGAUGCAUAACAGAAUGCGGAGUUUUAGAAAUGUCCA